rnacentral:rRNA from 1 species
GGUGAGUAACACGUGAGCAACCUGCCCUGGACUCUGGGAUAAGCGCUGGAAACGGCGUCUAAUACUGGAUAUGAGACGUGGCCGCAUGGUCAACGUUUGGAAAGAUUUUUCGGUCUGGGAUGGGCUCGCGGCCUAUCAGCUUGUUGGUGAGGUAAUGGCUCACCAAGGCGUCGACGGGUAGCCGGCCUGAGAGGGUGACCGGCCACACUGGGACUGAGACACGGCCCAGACUCCUACGGGAGGCAGCAGUGGGGAAUAUUGCACAAUGGGCGGAAGCCUGAUGCAGCAACGCCGCGUGAGGGAUGACGGCCUUCGGGUUGUAAACCUCUUUUAGCAAGGAAGAAGCUUUUGUGACGGUACUUGCAGAAAAAGCGCCGGCUAACUACGUGCCAGCAGCCGCGGUAAUACGUAGGGCGCAAGCGUUAUCCGGAAUUAUUGGGCGUAAAGAGCUCGUAGGCGGUUUGUCGCGUCUGCUGUGAAAUCCCGAGGCUCAACCUCGGGCCUGCAGUGGGUACGGGCAGACUAGAGUGCGGUAGGGGAGAUUGGAAUUCCUGGUGUAGCGGUGGAAUGCGCAGAUAUCAGGAGGAACACCGAUGGCGAAGGCAGAUCUCUGGGCCGUAACUGACGCUGAGGAGCGAAAGGGUGGGGAGCAAACAGGCUUAGAUACCCUGGUAGUCCACCCCGU